CGUGCACCUCCUUGCCUUCACGCCUGGAGAAGGCUGACCGCCCGGGGCGCCCCUACACGUGCACUCGGAGGGAACCUCGGUUCCCCAGGCGGUGGGAAGGUUGCUUGUCGGGGGAGUAUUAGCAUUCACUGUCGAAGGGAAGCGGCCUCCCGGGAGAAGACGCAGGCAUGGACGCUACUUAACCAGUGCCAGCGAGUCAGCAAGGAGGGCGGCUCAGCGCCGGCCGGGUUUUCCAAAAGAUGUGCUGUUCGCCGCCUUGAUACAAUAGACGUAAAUAACCGCAAGAGCACAGGAAUAAUAAAAUGUAGCCAAGUAAUUAGGGAGUGGCCCCCAGGAACUAAAACUAAGAGGGUAGAGGAAAAGUUUUUCCUCUUCAACAACAGGAAUUACAGACAACUCUUUCAAGAGGUUUUGCGGUGAAGGAGAGCAGAGAGCCCCCUGGUACCUAGUUGUAUAUUCUAGUUGUGAGUGCCUCUGGUUGU